rnacentral:rRNA from 1 species
UGCAAGGUGCUGCAUGGUUGUCGUCAGCUCGUGCCGUGAGGUGUCGGGUUAAGUCCCAUAACGAGCGCAACCCUUAUCGUUAGUUGCCAGCUGGUAAAGCAGGGGGACUCUAGCGAAACUGCCACCGUAAGGUGAGAGGAAGGUGGGGAUGACGUCAAAUCAGCACGGCCCUUAUGUCCAGGGCUACACACGUGUUACAAUGGCCGGCACAGAGGGCAGCUACCUGGUGACAGGAUGCUAAUCUCGAAAACCGGUCUCAGUUCGGAUCGAAGUCUGCAACUCGACUUCGUGAAGCUGGAUUCGCUAGUAAUCGCGCAUCAGCCAUGGCGCGGUGAAUACGUUCCCGGGCCUU